UACGGAGGAUGCAAGCGUUAUCCGGAAUUAUUGGGCAUAAAGCGUCCGCAGGUGGCUAUGUAAGUCUGCUGUUAAAGAGUGAGGCUCAACCUCAUAAGAGCAGUGGAAACUACAUGGCUAGAGUGCGUUCGGGGCAGAGGGAAUUCCUGGUGUAGCGGUGAAAUGCGUAGAUAUCAGGAAGAACACCGGUGGCGAAAGCGCUCUGCUAGGCCGCAACUGACACUGAGGGACGAAAGCUAGGGGAGCGAAUGGG
rnacentral:rRNA from 1 species